GACAGAGGUGCCAAGCGUUAGGCGGAAUCACUGGGCUUAAAGCGUGUGUAGGCGGAUCGUUAAGUACCUUGUGAAAUCCCACGGCUCAACCGUGGAACUGCUGGGUAUACUGGCGGUCUUGAGCCACCUAGGGGCAACUGGAACAAGCGGUGGAGCGGUGAAAUGCGUAGAUAUCGCUUGGAACGCCAACGGUGGAAACAGGUUGCUGGGGGUGUGCUGACGCUGAGACACGAAAGCCAGGGGAGCGAACGGG
rnacentral:rRNA from 1 species